rnacentral:lncRNA from 1 species
UUUAGUCCCUCAUGCUAGCUAGUAGUAGCUAGCUAGUGGAAGCAAGCUAACGUUAGUCCCUCAACCUGCUACAAGAUGAAUGUGGCACGGCCAGAGGAAUCCCCGACCUAACAAGGUAAAAAUCUCUCGUUCUGCCCGUGAACAAGGCAGUUAACCCACUGUUCCUAGGCCAUCAUUGUAAAUAAAAAUUUGCUCUUAACUGACUUGCAAAUUUAAACCAAGGUAAAAAAAAAUUAUGAAUUAAAAAAACCUGCAGCAGAAAGGUACGAUUUCUACAUUACUUUCUGUAUCUAACUUUGCUAGAUCUUCUGUCUGGCUGGUGCUUAUUGACUGUGUAGGCUAAUAAAGAGCUGCAAUUAGUGUAAUUAGUAUUUGAUCCUUUGCAUAGCUAUUUCUUACACAUUCAAUACAACAAUAUCCAGUUACACUUCACACAAUUCUGAUAUUGUGUGUGUGGGGGGUCAGAAUAUGCCCCAGGAAACAGCAUGGAAAAUGAACAGAUCAUAAAGAAGAUCAUACAGGUACCUCAGCCAAUAGAUAUUCUGGGCUGAGUGAAUGGACUGGAUAGGGCUGAGUGACUGGACUGGAUAGGGCUGAGUGACUGGACUGGAUAGGGCUGAGUGACAGGACUGGAUAGGGCUGAGUGACUGGACUGGGUAGGGCUGAGUGACUGGACUGGAUAGGGCUGAGUGACAGGACUGGAUAGGGCUGAGUGAAUGGUCUGGAUAGGGCUGAGUGACAGGACUGGAUAGGGCUGAGUGACAGGACUGGAUAGGGCUGAGUGACUGGACUGGAUAGGGCUGAGUGACAGGACUGGAUAGGGCUGAGUGACUGGACUGGAUAGGGCUGAGUGACUGGACUGGAUAGGGCUGAGUGACUGGACUGGAUAGGGCUGAGUGACUGGACUGGAUAGGGCUGAGUGACAGGACUGGAUAGGGCUGAGUGACUGGACUGGAUAGGGCUGAGUGACUGGACUGGAUAGGGCUGAGUGACUGGACUGGAUAGGGCUGAGUGACAGGACUGGAUAGGGCUGAGUGACUGGACUGGAUAGGGCUGAGUGACUGGACUGGAUAGGGCUGAGUGACUGGACUGGGUGAGUGGUCUGGAUAGGGCUGGGUGAAGGUGAAGUUAAUAUCAUACUUUUUAUUGAUGUGGGUAUAAUUCCCAAACCUCCUUUCCUGCUUACUGAAAGGCAGAUGUAGAAAAGGCAUAAUGCUGAGGAUACUACAUGAAUUGCUAUGGCAACUGGCCUACUUUUCUUAAUGCAUACCAACCUCCUUGUGAAUGUUUACCUUUAAACAGGUUAACAUACACAAGGCCGCAGGGCCAGACGGAUUACCAGGACGUGUACUGCGAGCAUGCGCUGACCAACUAGCAAAUGUCUUCACUGACAUUUCCAACCUCUCCCUGUCCGAGUCUGUAAUACCAACAUGUUUCAAGCAGACCACCAGAGUCCCUGUGCCCAAGAACACUAAGGUAACCUGCCUAAAUGACUACAGACCCGUAGCACUCACGUCUGUAGCCAUGAAGUGAUUUGAAAGGCUGGUCAUGGCUCACAUCAACACCAUUAUCCCAGAAACCCUAGACCCACUCCAAUUUGCAUACUGCCCCAACAGAUCCACAGAUGAUGCAAUCUCUAUUGCACUCCACACUGCCCUUUCACACCUGGACAAAAGGAACACCUAUGUGAGAAUGUUAUUCAUUGACUACAUGUAAUGCACUAGUUAGAAGAAGUGUCGGAGUCAGGCGCAGGACACAUGGAUGAGUGUAAACAAAAUGCGUGUUUACUAAAAUUCAUGAAUAAACUUCUUCUAAUAGAAAAUACAGGAUUGGGGAACAACCCCUCCAAGAACACAAAACAGGAAACCGACAAGACAAACAGGAAAUGCAGAGGGUUAAAUAAUAAACAUAAUUAGGGAAAUCAAAAACGGGUGUACACAAUAAAG